rnacentral:lncRNA from 1 species
UCCACUUUUCAAUUCACCAAUUUAUUGUUGAUAAUGUAUGGUCUAGUAAACAAAAUUUCUUCCAUAUCCGCUUCUGAUUGAAAUUUAAUUUAACUAGGUUGUAACCUUCAUCAUGGUAGUAAAGAUCUGGAGUAGCUACAGAGGUCCAUGUUUCAGCAACAACUUUCUUCAUAUAAUUGUGACCCGGCACAUCUCCAAUCACUUACAAUAUCAGAGAAUGCUUCCGUUUAAGCUCGUCUUCUUUUGUUCCUAUUUAUCUAUCUUCACCACUGAAGCCCCUAGUGUGAUGUAAUUCAAAGCAAUCCAAUUACUAGCCACUCAAUUACCAGCAAAAAGACUAAAUCAAGGGUUCGUUCUAGUCUCUGCAUCACCUUUGUUUCCUAGAUCUUCAGAUUUGUCGUGUAAAACUUGACCACCUUCUGUGUCCACUAAUGGAAAAGUAGUGGUGGAUACGUGAUUCAUUGGCAUUGUUACCUCAGGCGGAGAAAUUGGAGGUCUCGGCAUAACUUGGUUCACUCCUGAGCUCCGAUUAAUACUCUUAGACACAGAAUUGGACGUACUACAUGCUCCGAAAUCAUCUUCCAAUGUGUUUUGAACUCCCCGAUCUCCCGAGUUGCGUAAUUAACUCCUUCCUAGGUCUUUUCGUCGUCGCUGCCCUACCUGACGCACGAUAGCAGAACCUACGCCGAGAGCAUUUUAGAUAGGUGAGAGAAAAUCAAUUUCAUUUAUUUUUAACUAUUUUUUGUUAGAAGUGCUUUUAAAAAAAAAAAGUUAUUUCAGAGACAAAAAAUUUGUAUUUGACUAAUUAAUUUCAAAAAAUAUUUUGGGCAAUGUUAGGGAAGAAUUUAUAUUUGUUCAAGGUUCCAAAAGUGCUUUCAAAGAAAAUUAAUUACUCCCUUCAUUUUUAAAAAAAUAAUCUAAUUUGAAUUGAUACGAACUUAAAAAAAAAAAAAAAACUUUUAAAUUUUAUGAUCUUAAAUUAAAGAUAUGUCAAAUAUAUCAAAAUAUUUUCAAUCUUGUAAUCUUAAACAUGCCAUAUGAAAAGUUAAAAUUUAAAAAUUAAUAAAAAAAAUCAUUCUUUUUUAAACGGA